rnacentral:rRNA from 4 species
CUUGAUUAAAUAUAAGAGGUCCAGCCUGCCCAGUGACCUAGUUCAACGGCCGCGGUAUCCUAACCGUGCGAAGGUAGCGUAAUCACUUGUUCUUUAAAUGGGGACUAGUAUGAAUGGCAUCACGAGGGUUAAACUGUCUCCUCUCUCUAAUCAGUGAAACUAAUCUCCCCGUGAAGAAGCGGGAAUAAUUUUAUAAGACGAGAAGACCCUGUGGAGCUUAAAACAAAUUAACACCUGCCUCUACCUAUUUUAUUCCUGAAUAAACACAUAAAUAUAGCACCGCUGAUUAAUAGUUUUAGACUGGGGUGAUCUUGGAGCAAAAAACAACCUCCACGACGAUAAAGGAGUAUUCCCUGAGCCAAAAGCCACAACUUUAAGCACUAAAAAAUUAACGUACCUUGACCCAAUUUUUUGAUCAACGAACCAAGUUACCCUAGGGAUAACAGCGCAAUCCACUUCAAGAGCCCCUAUCGACAAGUGGGCUUACGACCUCGAUGUUGGAUCA